AUUGAACGCUGGCGGCAGGCCUAACACAUGCAAGUCGAGCGAGAGGCGGACGGGUGAGUAAUGUAUGGGGACUGCCCGAUAGAGGGGGAUAACUAAUGGAAACGGUGGCUAAUACCGCAUACUAUCGGAUAACCCAUAUGGGAUUAGCUAGUAGGUGGGGUAACGUCUCACCUAGGCGACGAGCUCUAGCUGGUCUGAGAUGAUUAUCAGCCACACGUGGACUUAUACACGUCCCAGACCCCUACGGAGGCAGCAUGUGGGAAUAUUUCCCAAUGGGCGCAAGCCUGAUGCAGCCAUGCCGCGUGUAUGAAGAAGGCCUUCGGUUUGUAAAGUACGUUCAGCGGGGAGGCGUUACCCGCAGAAGAAGCACCGGCUAACUCCGUGCCAGCAGCCGCGGUAAUAC
rnacentral:rRNA from 1 species